GUGUUUAUAGCUUAGUAGUAGAGCACAUGCUUAGCAUGCAUGAGGUCCUGGGUUCAAUUCCCAGUACUUCCA
rfam:Camelus ferus unplaced genomic scaffold scaffold2476, whole genome shotgun sequence.